rnacentral:sRNA from 1 species
GGAUUUCGGGAUGGAAAGGGGGAGAGGCUGCCCUUCUAGGAACCCCCCAGUACAAGCCUCCUUUCCCAGAUUGGUGUAACUAGGCCCAGAUAUGGACGAAGAGCGGGCUCGGGGUCCGCUAGAAAUGAGGAGCACCCAGGAGCAGCUUAAGUGCUGACAGGGGGCUUCUAAGCUGGUUAACGGGCUCCCCGGACCUGCCUGUCAGCUUCUCUCCGACCCUGCUGUCACUCUCACUCGUCAGAACAGGAGUCACCCAGCUGAAGGCCGGCAGCUUCCUGAGAAUUCCGUCUCUGCACCUGCUCCUCUUCACCUCCAACUCCUUCUCCGUGAUUGAGGAUGAUGCAUUUGCGGGCCUGUCCCACCUGCAGUACCUCUUCAUCGAGGACAAUGAGAUUGGCUCCAUCUCUAAGAAUGCCCUCAGAGGACUUCGCUCACUUACACACCUAAGCCUGGCCAAUAACCAUCUGGAGACCCUCCCCAGAUUCCUGUUCCGAGGCCUGGACACCCUUACUCACGUGGACCUCCGCGGGAACCCGUUCCAGUGUGACUGCCGCAUCCUCUGGCUCCUGCAGUGGAUGCCCACCGUGAACGCCAGCGUGGGGACCGGCGCCUGUGCGGGCCCCGCCGCCCUGAGCCACUUGCAGCUCCACCACCUCGACCCCAAGACCUUCAAGUGCAGAGCCAUAGAGCUGUCCUGGUUCCAGACGGUGGGGGAGUCGGCACUGAGCGUAGAGCCCUUCUCCUACCAAGGGGAGCCUCACAUUGUGCUGGCACAGCCCUUCGCUGGCCGCUGCUUGAUUCUCUCCUGGGACUACAGCCUGCAGCGCUUCCGGCCCGAGGAAGAGCUGCCCGGUGAGCCCCCUCCCCGUCCUUCUGCCUGUCCAGCAGCCUGCCUGGCUGGCCUGACCUGCCUCCCCACCUCCCCACAGCGGCCUCCGUGGUGUCCUGCAAGCCACUGGUGCUGGGCCCGAGCCUCUUCGUGCUGGCUGCCCGCCUGUCGGGGGGCUCACAGCUGUGGGCCCGGCCCAGUCCAGGCCUGCGCCUGGCCCCAACGCAGACCCUGGCCCCGCGGCGGCUGCUGAGGCCCAAUGACGCCGAGCUCCUGUGGCUGGAAGGGCAGCCCUGCUUCGUGGUGGCGGAUGCCUCCAAGGCGGGCAGCACCACGCUGCUGUGCCGCGACGGGCCCGGCUUUUACCCGCACCAGAGCCUGCACGCCUGGCACCGGGACACGGACGCUGAGGCCCUGGAGCUGGACGGCCGGCCCCAUCUGCUACUGGCCUCGGCUUCCCAGCGGCCCGUGCUCUUCCACUGGACCGGUGGCCGCUUCGAGAGACGCACAGACAUCCCUGAGGCGGAGGAUGUCUAUGCCACACGCCACUUCCAGGCUGGUGGGGACGUGUUCCUGUGCCUCACACGCUACAUUGGGGACUCUAUGGUCAUGCGCUGGGAUGGCUCCAUGUUUCGUCUGCUGCAGCAACUUCCCUCGCGCGGUGCCCACGUCUUCCAGCCACUGCUCAUCGCCAGGGACCAGCUGGCCAUCCUAGGCAGCGACUUCGCCUUCAGCCAGGUCCUCCGCCUUGAGCCUGACAAGGGGCUCCUGGAGCCGCUGCAGGAGCUGGGGCCCCCGGCCCUGGUGGCCCCCCGUGCCUUCGCCCACAUCACUAUGGCCGGCAGACGCUUCCUCUUUGCUGCUUGCUUUAAGGGCCCCACACAGAUCUACCAGCAUCACGAGAUCGACCUCAGUGCUUGAGAACCACCAAUGGGACUCUGGGCAUGGCUGGGGACCCUGGACAGCCCCUUGGCUGGCUCCUGGCCCCACUUGGGGUGAUGGCUGACCAUGGGCCACAUUCAUCAGCCACAUGUCUAGGCCUCAAGCCUGCUUCUUAAAGGAUCUGCACCCGGGGGGGGACAUAGAGGGUCCCAGCCUACUGGACCUCCCGAGCUGCCCUUCAGAUCUAAAGCGACAUCUGGACAUCUCGGCUGGGGCAGAUUCCCUAUCAAAGGCAACCUGGGGGUGCAGGCCGGUGCACUGCAUGGAGUCGAGGUGCAGGUCACGUGCAGAGCUCCAUGAGGUCCAGAAGCCCCCCUCUCAACCCGCUCCCACCCCCGCUGGUCCCUCUGAAAGCACUGAGGGGUUGAUGGCAUUCCUUUCCCAUUCUAAACUCCACGCAGCCAAUCGCUUUCCUGGAGAAGCGCCAACCUCGAAGACAACUCAGCGCUGGGCGGGUUCCCCUCUGCUGCUUGUGCGCAUGCGUGCGGCCGC